GGAGGGGUGGGUGCGUCUGGGGCUUGGGGAGGACAGGCCUUGCGCCCGCCCCGCACUCCCCCCGCCCAGCCUCGAUGUGGGGGAGCGAGGGAAGACCCUCUCCCGCGCAGCUCCACCCCCGCAGCCCCCGGCCCGCCCGGUUCCCGGGUGCGGCGGGACUCACGGCCUUCAACUGCUCCAGCCGGUCCUUCAUCCUGGUGCCCAGGCGCCCGGAGGCAGCCUUUCCAUUCAACAGCCAUUCACUACCUGUGCCGGGCUCUGUGCUAGGAUCCAGCCCUCAACAGACUGAUUCAUUGCUAGGCGGCGCCAACAUCCCGUACACGAGGAACUCUAAGACAACGUGAUUCGUGCCGUAACAGGUGGGAGAGAGAGAGCAAUUAAUUCUGCCUGGAGGAAGGGCAUUCCGAGUAAAGGAAUGCUCACGGUCCGGGGGACUGCGUGCUGGAGCUGAAAGAGUGUGUUCCUCGUGGAAAUAACUGGAGGUGAGGCGGGGUGGGGAAGGCUGGGACGAAGAAUUUGGAUUUUAUGAUGUUGGCAAUGGGGAUCCUUAAGAGAAAUGCAAGCAGUUCAAUGAUGAAAUCAGAACACCUGCCACUAACAAAGUGUAUACCUUUGGCAAGUUAUUGUUUCUCUAGGGGACUCCGUUUCUGUAUCUAUAAAUCAGAGAUAUUACCCACUUCCCAGUUUGCUGUGGGGCCUUGUUGACAGAGGAGGAAUGACUGAUUCGUCACCUGUGGAGCAGAGCUGUAAGAGGAGGAUGUGUGUAUUGGAAAGCUUAAGCUUUCCUACCUGAUCCCCUAGGUGAGUAGUACCUGAUCCCACUUUCUGAAAAGUGGGCGGUUUCUUCGCACUGCCCCUCCGUCUUUCUCCCCUCCCCGGCCCCACACCUCCACCCUCUCUUCCCUCUUCCCCAUUUAUCUUCCUUCUUGGGAACAGAUGACAUAUCCAGCAGAUAUGGAGUGGAGCUCAAUAAAUAGGACUGACUGGCCUAAGAUUCAAUCCUCAAAUCAGGGAAAGAAUCUGAGCUAUGCAUCCAGAUUAAAGGGCUGUAGGACUUCCCUGGUGGUGCAGUGGUUAAGAAUCCGCCUGCCAGUGCAGGGGACACGUGUUCGAGCCCUGGUCCGGGAAGACCCCAUAUGCCACGGAGCAGCUAAGCCCGUGCGCCACAACUACUGAGCCUGCGCUCUAGAGCCCUCGCGCUACAACUACUUAAGACACAACGAGGGAAGCAGCCACCGCAAUGAGAAGCCCGUGCACCACAACGAAGAGUAGCCCCCACCCACCGCAACUCGAGAAAGCCCGCGCGCAGCAACGAAGACCCAACGCAGCCAAAAUUAAAUAAAUAAAUAUUUUUUAAAAGGGCUGUAAAUAUUUUCGUAAUUCUAACAGAACUUUGCCCUGUUCUGCAAUCUUAGCGCUUGCUCCGUGCUGACUUCAUCCUCUCCCAUGAAGAUACGGUCUGUAAUCCUCGCUCUAGUCCUGCACACUUCCUUCUACCCCAGGCGCUCUCUAGGUGAAUUAAUUUCCAGUCUUUGGUAAAGGGAAGGCUUCUGCGUCCCCUGGUGGUCAGAAAUGGAAACGGUAAGCUAAUCAGAGAUCGCAUUCCACCUCCCUUCCGUAACAAAUUUUUGUUAAUGGGGAUAGCUAAGUUUCCGCGCUUCAGGAAAAGAGAGUCUUCUGAGGAGACAGAUAUGUGAACAGCUCUUUACAUUAGACGUCUGAAAAGGACCACAGGAAAUGAUCAAGGAUGGCCAUUCAGCCUCUGCCUGAAUGCAUUUUAAUUUUUUCAGUUUUUUCACUCAAGCAUCUUCUCUGGUUGAACAGUUCCAACUGUUGUUUAAAAGUGUUUUGUUAUAUGAAACAAAAAUUUUCCUUCCUAUAACUUCCACCACUGUUUCUUGCUCUUCGCCUUUGUCCAAACAUUUAAGAAAUUUAAUCUGUCCUUCACAAGACAGGCUUUCCAUGAAGGGACAGUAGCUGUGGAGCCACAGAACGAUUGCUGACACACAGCCAGGAGGACUGAGUUCUAGACACAGUUUCUGCCACAAAACAGCUAUCACUUGACAUCGCACAAUCUAUUCUCUCAUCUGUGAGGCAGAAGUCUGGAUUGCAGCAGCUAGCUGUGUAAAAUAAACUGAAGAAAGUCAAGUUACUGAGGGACAAGGGACCUGGGUGAGGAGAGGCCAUGGGCUGGUGAGGAAGACUGACACUGAGCCCAAGUGGACUGUGAGGUCUCCACGUAUGGACAGUGACGAAUCCAGGUGCAGUUUCGCUGGGUGCCUCUGCCUUACUGCAAUUAAGGUGUUGGCUGGAGGCUGCGUCUCAUCUCAUGGCUUGACUGGGAAAGGAUCUGCUUCCAAAGUCACUCACGUGGUUGCCAGCAGGAUUCAGUUCUUCAAGGGCUGUACUUCACCCCGUGGGCCUCUUCAUAGGGUAGCUCACAACAUGGCAGCUGAAUUCCAUCAGCCCAAGCAGGUGAGAGGGAUAGAGAAAGAGAGAGAAAAGCCAAAGUGUUUUUGUAACCUAGUCUCGGCUGUAACAUCACUUUUGCCAUACUGUAUCGAUUAAAAGAGAAGCCCUAGGUUCAGCCCACACUCAAGGCCAGGAGAUUACACAAGGUGGGGAAGGCCGAGAGCCAUCUCAGCCGCUGCCUAGAACACAAUUCAAAUCCCAAAUUCAUGCCACAGUUAUGCUCUUUCACCUUAGAGCUCUCUUCUCCCCUGUAUCUGAACUGGACAACUCUGACCCAUUCCAGGAUUAAGUGUCCCUCAAACAUGCUUCCCUGACAGCCUGGACUUCAAAAUAGCCCUACCACACUGUGUAACCUGGUCUAGUUCCUGUACCUUCUAUGAGCUCCGCGAGGCCAGCAGCCUUGUCUCUCCUUUUCACUAAUGCGAACCCAGACCCCAGCCUCGGCCCCGAAACGUCCUUGUAGGCGCUCAGUUAGGGUUUUUACCAAAUUAAUUAAGUGAAGCUUCUUGUCCUAUGGCUCCAUUAUGUCUGUCUUCUGAUUAAAAUUCAUCAGUGGCUCCUUAUUACAAGAUUAGGGAGUCCAGACUCUUCUUAGAAUGGCAUUCAAGCCCUUGUGCAGUCUGGCCCCAGCCCAAGGUACUGUCACUCCCUGACACACACAGCCCCACCUUCAGCUUCCUCAAACACCCACCUCUUCUCUGCAUCGAAUACGCCCAGGAUUUCCCCCCCAUCUCUGCCUGAUUUGUCCUUUUUCCAUUUCAUGUCUGACAAAUCCCUACUCCUCCUCCAAGACCGAGGCCUUCUCCAGUUCACGUCUCCCUGGCCCUCUGCCCUCCCGCCCCAAACAGUACUUGUUCAGAUCUAUUUUAAAAGCAGGGCUUCCCUGGUGGCGUAGUGGUUGAGAGUCCACCUGCCGAUGCAGGGGACACGGGUUCGUGCCCGGGUCCGGGAAGAUCCCACAUGCCACGGAGUGGCUGGGCCCAUGAGCCAUGGCCGCUGAGCUCUGCGCGUCCAGAGUCUGUGCUCCGCAACGGGAGAGGCCACAACAGUGAGAGGCCCACGUACCGCAAAAAAAAAAAAGCAAACCCUGGGUUGUCUUACACCUCGUUGCUUACAUAUCUGUUGAGAGCAAUGACCAGGUAUUAUAUUAUUCACCUUCCAGGGCUACUGUGAGGUAGGUGCACUGCAAUUAUUUGGAGGAUAAAUCAAAGAAUAGUCGACUACUAUUCUUGUGUAGUGUGUGACUACACACACACACUCACACACACACACUCCCUAGGGAUUCUCCUCUCCUCUCCCUAAGGAGGAAAGACGAUCCUUCCUGGAUCUUAAAACUAAAUGCAAUUGCAACUCCCUGUGCCACUGAACUGUGUGUUUAAAACAAUGUAUUUUAAAGACACAGAGGACAGACUUGUGGUUGCCAGGGGCAAGGGGGUGGGUGGGGAAGGGAUGAAGUGGGAGUUCGGAAUUAGCAGAUGCAAAAUAUUGUACAUAGGAUGGAUAAAUAACAAGGUCCUACUGUAUAGCACAGGGAACUAUAUUCGAUAUCCUGUAAUAAACCAUAAUGGAAAAGAAUAUGAAGGAUGUAUAUAUAUAUAUAACUGAAUCACUUUGCUAUACAUUAGAAAUUAAUACCACAUUGUAA